rnacentral:rRNA from 1 species
UACAGAGGUCUCAAGCGUUUGUUCGGAUUCAUUGGGCGUAAAGGGUGCGUAGGCGGCGUGGUAAGUCGGGUGUGAAAUCUCGGGGCUUAACUCCGAAACUGCAUUCGAUACUGCGGUGCUUGAGGACUGGAGAGGAGACUGGAAUUUACGGUGUAGCAGUGAAAUGCGUAGAGAUCGUAAGGAAGACCAGUGGCGAAGGCGGGUCUCGUGGACAGUUCCUGACACUGAGACACGAAGGCCAGGGGAGCAAACGGG